CAGCCGCCACGGGAAUACGAGGGGGGCAAGCGUUGUUCGGAAUUAUUGGGCGUAAAGGGCGCGUAGGCGGUUUGGCAAGUUUGGUGUGAAAUCUUCGAGCUCAACUCGAAGUCUGCAUCGAAAACUGCCGGGCUUGAGUAUGGGAGAGGUGAGUGGAAUUUCCGGUGUAGCGGUGAAAUGCGUAGAUAUCGGAAGGAACACCUGUGGCGAAAGCGGCUCACUGGACCAUUACUGACGCUGAGGCGCGAAAGCUAGGGGAGCAAACAGGAUUAGAUACCCCCGUAGUCCCUGUCUCUUAUAC
rnacentral:rRNA from 1 species